CGUUCGCCGCUCUAGGUUCCGCCUUCUCUCGGUGCCGGGCCGCGGGCGCGCGAUGGAGGCCGGGUACUGGGUGAUCGGCGGUGAGUUCGAGGACUCGGUGUUCGAGGAGAGGCCGGAGCGGCGGCCCAGGCCUCCCGCGCCCUACAGCGCCAAGCGUUGCGAGCCACAGUGGUUUUAUGAAGAAACAGAGAUCGGCGAAGAUGCGGAAGUUCUGACUAUCAAGAAAUUCAAAGGGGAUCUGGCCUACAGACGACGGGAUUAUCAGAAAGCUCUGCAGGAGUACUCCAGUAUCUCUGAAAAAUUGUCAUCUAGCAAUUUUGCUAUGAGAAGAGAUGUCCAAGAAGGCCAGGCUCGUUGUCUGGCUCACCUGGGAAGGCAUGUGGAAGCACUGGAGAUUGCUACGAGCUUGGAAAAUAAAGCAACCAAUACAGACCAUUUAACCACAGUGCUCUACCUCCAGUUUGCUAUUUGCUCAAGUUUGCAGAACUUGGAGAAAACAAUUUUCUGCCUGCAAAAACUGAUUUCUUUGCAUCCUUUUAAUCCUUGGAGCUGGGGCAAAUUGGCAGAGGCUUACCUGAGUCUGGGGCCAACUCUUUCAGCCUCAUUUGCGUCAUCUCAGAGACAGAGCAGUUUCACCUCACAUGACAAAACUAUCAAAUCUUCCUUUCCACACUCAAGAAAAGACCAUCUUUUGUGUUUCCCUGAAACCUUGCCUGAGAGCUUGGUGUUUUCCAUGGAAGCAGGCAGCCAGCAAGCUGAAAAAGCUCUUACAGAUAUUCCAAACUGUAUAGCAGAAAGGAGAGAAGCAGUGUGGGCAGAGACUCAGAUGAAAGCAUGUGCCUGCUUGAUCCGAGCCAGGCUUUUGCUUCAGCUCACCCAACCUCAGCAAACAUCAUUUGCUUUGGAGAAGAACUUAAAGACUCAGCAGGAAAUCAAAGAUAAAAUGAAAGAAUUCAGCUUCAAAGAAGACACUUUGCUGUUGGUCACUGAGAUUAUGGGAGAGGAUAUCAUCCCAGAAAAUAUAAAGGAUGAAGUUCACUUGGAGGUGAAGUGUAUUGGCCCUGCAGCCCUAACUGCCCUGGUGACUGCAUCCUUGAAAGAAUUUGAAGACAAGUGGUUUGGAAAGAUCAAAGACCAUUUUUGUCCUUUUGAAAAUCAGUUCCAUAUAGAGAUACCGAUCUUGGCGCAGAAGUCCGCUUAAAAGCAAAACCAUCUUGCACUGCGUUAAUCAUCCUGUUUUCUUCAGGAAAUAGCAACAGGAGUUGCUGCCUCAACAUGGGAAAUUGUGAAGGAAAAUGAUUAUUUAUGUUUUCUAAAACAGCUUCUCCCCAGAUUGCUCCAUCUCUGUUCAGUUUUGUUGCUUUGUGUUUUCUUUUUCGAUUUGUGCUCUCCCCUUUAAGUACAGUAUCAUGGCCUACCUAGAAGAUAUGUAUAGAGAAAGUAUAUAAAGGUGGUGUGUUAGCUUUUCAUUGUUGUGACAAAAUGCCCGACCUAACUUUAAGGAAGGAAAGUUUUAUUUUGGCUCAGUUUCCAAGGUUUCCAUCCGCCUCAGCACAUCUGCUCACCUCGUGGUGGCCAGGAAGAGAAAGAGACACAGAGGCCCAGGACAAGAUCCAGCCGUAAGGACAUGACCUCAAUGACCUUCCUUCAGUCAUAAAACCUUGAUUGAGCCUUGCAGUGGUGUGACGAGGCGGGGCAGGCGAGCCAAAUUAUCACGCACCAUCUUUGCCAAGGCCUUCAACUGACUGGAUGAGGUCUGCUCACAUUGGGAAGGACAAUCUGUUUUCCUCGGUCUACGAGUCAAUGUUAAUCUCAUCCAGAGACAUCCAGAGUAAUGUAUGACCAAAUAUCUGUAUGUAUGACCACUCCACAGCCCAGUUGACACAUAAAAUUAGCUAUCAUAAAUCCACCUGUGUCAACUUGGCAUCUCUGCACAGCUCUUUAAACUCCUAUUCCAAUUUGACCAGCAUCCUUUAAGAAGAGGAGAUUGGACAGUCAAGGUCACCCAUGUUGUGUUAGUCAGGAUUUUGUUGUUGCUGUGACAGUCCAUGGUCAGCUGGCUCUGUUGUUUCUGAACCUGUGGUGAUCAUCAUGGCAGAAGGGCCUGGUAGAGCAGAGCAGCUCACCUCAUGGCAGUCAGGAAGGAGGGGAGAAGGAGCCAGUGCAAGAUAGACCCUUCAAAGCCACACCCCAGUGACCUACUUCCUCCAACCAGGCCCCACCUUCCACAGUUCUACCAACUCCCAACAGUCUAUUCAGAUUUUGAAUCUACCAGUGGAUUAAAACAUUCAUUAGGUCAGAGCCCUCACAAUCCAGUCAUCUCUGGAAAUCCCUCCAGACUCCCCUCAAAAAAUCAAACUGACAAUCAAAAUUAACCACCGCAAGUGAAGAGGCAGCAGGGGAGAAGCCAUCUGCAAGCCAAAGAAGGAAGCUUUUAGGAGCCAGCUCUGAUGACACCUAGACUUCAGCUUCGAGAACUGUGAGCAAGUACAUUUCCGCUGUCAAAGCUGUCUGGUAUUUAUGUGACAGCAGCUGUAGGAGUGUCCUGUCCCUGAGAAGACUUGCUCACUCCUUCCCUCUUCCUUGGCUGCCCUCUUUGCUUGGCCUGAAGCACCUCCCUCGCCUUCAGGGUUUGUCUUGCUUAUUCUUCCAUGUUCCUGAAAAGCCAACGAAGUUACCUGUCUGUGCUUCUCAGGGAUGCAUAAGGAAGGGGCUCACAGAGCUUGGAGCCGCUUCACUAGCACCCAUUUAGUGUGGGGUGGAGCAUGGUGGCAGGGGCCUAGAAAUUUCCUCCCAAGCCAGGGCCAUCAGCCUGGAAGUUGUCUUUGUGUGGAUCUGAAAAAGGCACCCUUGCCAGCCUUGGGAGCAGUCGGUGGAAGAAGCCACCCUUGGCCCAGUGUGUACAUUGCACCACUGUGCCGGGGCUGUCUCCUUGGGACCUUCUGUCCACUUAGCACACUGCCUCACCAUUUGCUUCACCAUACCCUGAAGAGAAAACAAGAUGGGACACCUGAGAAACAACACGGCUCACAGAAUACACUGAAUGACAACCAAGAGGAGGUCGUAUCUGUGCUUGUCUUGUGUCUGCAAUAUUUACAUCUGAUAACAGUUUUUCUGACACAUAAGCACUCUGCAGAAGGAAGCUGGGAAUGUGAGUGACAAUUUCUUUAUGUCCAACAGUUUCUUGGAUCAAGUUCAAAGCAUGAAGCAUUAAAAGAAACUUUUACACUUUGAUGAAGGCCAACAGGGCAUUCCAGGAAUACAAGUGCAGGCAGGGGUGGCCCUUUCUGACCUGUUGAGGUCACCCAGAAUCUGAGUGUCCAUCUGCCCUAUGGUAGCACAGCUCCUCCCCAGUGCUUAACUGAGGACCCGUGAUCACGCAAUUGGAUGAACCACAGUGUUGCUGCUGCCCUCCUGGGGCCCACAGAGAUGCUGUUGGCCUCUGGGCUGUUACUGUGUAGGGUCUGUGAUCCCAAACCUUGGUUUGUAGGAUGCAUUUGGCCAGGGGUGGAGCACCCUUCCACUGGGCCCCCCAGGGACACAACAAUCCUGCCAUUUCUUUCAUUCUUGGGCUUUUUCUGGUGGUGUUCACAGGUAGGUACCUCCCAGCUGACUUGGAGUUCUUAGGGCAGAGAGAUGUAUUGCCUGGAAUUGGCUCUGUGUGUGGCCCACAGGAGGUGCUCAGGUGCUAUUUUUAGGUGUCACUCUGUAGUAGAGACUAUGUUUAAGGACAGCCUCCAGCAGGCAGGUCCUACCAAAGGAGGUGCAGGGGUGAUUAGAACUCGGGGUGGAAUUAAAGAUCGAAUGAGAUCAGGUUAGGUAGGGUUUGAAAUUUGGUUAAGACCUAGUUCCAGCUCUCCACCACCCCAUUGCCAGGACCAUUUCUGGUCCUCUGGUAGAAAUGGUGUCUUGGAAAGUGAGCCCAAGGCACCCCAAAGGAUGUCACAGCCUCAAACCAGUCUUGGAGGUCACAUCCAUCAGAUGAAGCUGGGUCAUGGCGCACCCACAUCUUAGUGGCUUAAACAGCACAGGCUUACUUCCUGCUCUAAUGUAGCAUGGCAGGGCAGUGGGAUGGGAGUGAGGGGUUCUGCUGACUGAGGUCACUUAGGAAAAGGGGCUGCACCCAGAUCUCCGCUUCAGUGAUCCUGACACUCGCGCCACUAAUCAGAGCAAAGCACACCUACCUCCUGGCCAGCAGGCCAUGGGAUGCUCCAAGGGCCCAAGAGAGGCAGACUGCAUAUCUGUGAACCAUGGGAAGAUGCUCACCACCCCAGAGGGGAAGCUGCUGUUGGGGGUAGCACAGGGGUCCAGGGCUGAGCCACACGGCAGGUGUGGCAGGGCGGGUGCUGGAAUGCUGGGUUUGGAAGCUUUUGUCACCCCAGCAAGCUUUCCCUGCCUUCACCUUUCUCAGCAGACUGUGAAAUCCUAUUUAGAAUACUCAGCUGGCCUGGUAAUUCUACCCUUGUCCCAAUGUCAGCUGGGAAACAGCAGCCUGAGGGCUGGGACCUCCAAACCAUCAGAAACCCCAGGGUUUUUUAUUUGUUUGCUUUUUACUAUCAGGAACUAAGGAGGAAAAAAGUGACUUGAGGAAAGGAAUAGAAUUUAAAAGAAACAGAAGCAGAAGGCAAAAUGCCCCUGCCCUUUCCAGGAGUGGUGACAAAUAGGAACAAGGGACGAUGGGUGGUUAUGGGGAGGCAGUCCUUGCAGAGCUGCAGAGCGGGACUGGUGGGCCACACGUGCUGUCAUGGCUCAGGCCACAAGGAGGAAGGGCUCUGUUCUUCAGCCCCUCACAGCAAAGGCCAGGCUCUUGAGCCGGAGCAGAGCCAAAGAGAAGACAUUUGCUUUGAUGACUCGUGGGUGGCAGGAGAGGGCCUAGGACCAGAAGAGGGCAGGGGCCCUGGUGCCUGCUUCUCUCUGCCUGGACCAGCCCUGAGCACAGCCCACUGCCUGUCCCUUCCCUGGCUCUCACCUCUGAUGUAGGGAUAACUGUAAUUUUGGGAAUGAAUGAAUGAAUGAUAGGACUCCUAAUGGAUCUGUAUUCAUUCCUGGGAGGUGGAGGAAGUCAGCUGGCCACUAGAGGCACCCGGAGCUGAAGGUAGCUGGCUACACCAGGCAGCUGAAUGCUGGGCAGCAGUCAGUGCUGACAACUCAAGCCACUGUGGCUAGCCCAGGUUCCAGGGAUCUCCAGGCCAGUCACGACUCUUUGAAGUAAGACUCUGAAUCUGUUAAAUUGCCUUGUCCAACCAGAACCUCCACACCUGUCAACUUAGUCCCCCCAUCCCUACCUGCUUCAAGUGGCCACACAGAACUUAAAGACAGGUCCUAGGGCCUCAUCCUUAAUUCACCCUUUCCAGGGUGAUGGUGGUGAAAAAAGGUUUCCGGACUAUUCUAGAAACAUCCAGAAUCUUCCUAUAUCCUCUCCUAAAUCUUUCCUUUCUGAAUCUUUGGGGGGUGGGGUGGGCCAUUCUUGGGCACUGGGACACAGAAUUUCCUCAGUUCCUCAGUCUGCUGUUGGUAAAACUCGGGCCACAUCCACCCCUUCUUAAAUUGUGGAACUUUGGGUUCCAUUAAUAUUGAAGCUGUGGGUAAUUUUGGAAGACAGGUGCUCUUUUAGUGUGAUUUUGUCCUCACCCCCCUCCCACCUUUCUGGAACCUUCUGGAAUGGGUUAUAUAGGCCAAACCAGAGAGAGGAACCUGGAGACUUGUGGGAGCUGGCAAGUGGAUGGCCUCAGUCCUGGGAACACUCAAAUGUAGUCAGUGGUAUUGUCAGAGUGCCUUUAGCUCAGAGGGAAUCAGGUUCAAUGCUAUUGGUCAUUAAGGUGAAGUUUUUGAGCCAGAAAAUCUAGC